rnacentral:rRNA from 1 species
AUGGGCGCGUUGCAUGCCCCCUUGGUGUCCACCCUACCCCACACGGCAGUCACCCAACUACCACUAACCGCUGGACAGUCAACCCGUAACCAUUUUCUACCGCCCACCAUGUCGUGGAAGCGAACAAAUGGAGCGCACGACCACGAUGCCGGCCCCUCCUCGGGGCGGCGCCGCCAUGUGGCAACCUUCAUCGUGGUGCUGCCAGGGCUGCACCGCCGGCGCGUGACCAUGUUGCCAGCCAUUUCGGCCUCUGGUCGUGCGCGGGAGGCGGAGAUCUGCCGCCACCGCACUCAGCUACUAAGUGACCUCUGCCACGACCCGGCGUUCGCAUUGGACUCGCCACACUGGGACAUUUGGUUCGGCGAUGAGCUCGACCAGCGUCGCUGGUCAUGCUUCACCGCUCAUGCACCAACGCCCCUGCGCGCUCCAACACCACAACCAAGAAGGAGGAUGAGGCCCUCAAGAAGGACAUCGAGGACUCCGAACUGGCCAAGAUGGCCUAGUGGACUGACCUGCACCUGCCACUGGUGCUCCAAGUCUCGACGUUGGAGGCCCCCGCGCCACCGUCGAAGCUACGAAAUUUCCCGAAUUUCCCAUUCUACCCCUCUUCUCGUGCCGACCGACAAGUUCCCCUCUCUCUCGCGCGACGCUCCCCACCACUCGCUCCCCACCACUCGUCUCUCUCUAUCUCUCGCGCGUGACGCCGCCCUCUCUCUGUCGACGCGCCCUCUCUCCCCCUCUCGCCAGCAUCUUGCUCCGCACCGCCGCCUGGCUCACCGCUCCUCACACGCCGCCCUCUCCUACUCUGGCAACGCGCUGCUAGGCGAGGAGGAGGCGCGCGCUGGCGCUAGAUCUGAGUGCGCCGGCGGCCCCGCUGGCUACCGCGGGGAGGCCUCCUCGUCGCCGUCCCUGCAGCCGCCGCCGCCGCAGCAGCAGCAGGGGCACGCUAUUCAGCCCGUGUGGCUGCGGCAGCCGAGUCUGCCUUGGGAUCUUGGUGCGGGCGCGCCUCCCAUCGGCUUCGGGCUUCGUGAUCUUGAGGAGAUGCGCAAGAUGGUGCUCGACGGGUUCAAGCACUGCGCGCACGGGAUCAUGGAGAACAGCCAGGGGCAUGCAGCCAGGAGUAGAUUCCUGUACUGUUCUUUCCUGUAGUGGAGCUAAUUUUGUGUCUUUGUUAAUCUUCUCAUGAACUUCUGUAGCUUCUGUUAGCUAGUCUUGGUCAUGAAUCUGCAGCUUCACCUAGUUACCGUGUGCUGCAAUUUAUGCUGUGUUACAAAGUGAUUCUUGCUGCUGGUAACCUGGUAUAGCUUUGGAUUUAUGAAACUCUGUUUAUAAAGUGAAUCUUGCUUCCAAUUACAGUGAUUUUCCCAGCGCAUCAAAUGUACUGAAACUGUAAAGUGAUCCUAUUAACUGUAAAGUGUAGGAGUAUAAUUUUAAUUGUAACAUUUUUCUGUUAAUUAAGAUAAACUGAAACCUUUUCAAUCAAUUAAACCUUUUCAGUCAAUUAAACCUUUUCAGUAUUAAAAGAAAGUUUCCAUUAAACCUCUUUUGUUAAUCAAACCAUUUUUGUUAAUUAAAAAAAUUCAGAAAAUGAAAACCUUUUUUUAAUUAAACCUUUUCAGUAUUAAAAGAAAGUUUCCAUUAAACCUCUUUUGUUAAUUAAAC